rnacentral:rRNA from 1 species
CUUCAUCGACAUGAACUCCCCAUGGUUUCUAGUAAUAAAGAGAUAGCAGUUUGUGAUGCUUGUCAACAGGGCAAAAGUCAUCAACUUUAUUUUUCUUCCUCUAGUCGAGUUGUCAACAAUCCUUUAGAAAUUGUGUUUUCUGAUGUAUGGGGUCCAGCCCAAACUUCUGUUAGUGGUCACAACUAUUAUGCCAGUUUCAUUGAUGCUUAUAGUCGUUUUAGAUGGCUUUAUCUCCUUAAGCGCAAGUCUGAUGUGUUUGAUAUCUUUCUUCAAUUUCAGUCACACGUUGAGCACCUUCUCAAGCAGAAAAUUAUACAUGUUCAGUCGGAUUGG